rnacentral:misc_RNA from 1 species
GAAAAGUCCAAGCGCACUGCACAUCAGGAGAUGAAUUUGAUAGCUAAACUGAACCAUCCAUAUAUGUUUGAGUACAAAGAUGCUUGGGUGGACAAGGAAAGCUGUAUAUGCAUCGUCGCCGAUUAUUGCGAAGAUGGAAAUGUGGCAGAGAUCAUAAAGAAGUCUAGAGGAGCAUUUUUCCCUGAAGAGAAACUAUGCAAAUGGCUGACUCAGCUAUUGUUAGCUUUGGAGUAUCUGCAUUCUAAACGUGUUCAGCAUAGAGACCUCAAGUUAUGUAACAUAUU